GCAGUCGUGGCCGAGUGUUUAAGGCGAUGGACUAGAGAUCCAUUGGGGUCUCCCCGCACAGGUUCGAAUCCUGUCGACUGCG
rnacentral:tRNA from 1 species